UACGUAGGGGGCGAGCGUUGUCCGGAAUCAUUGGGCGUAAAGCGCACGUAGGCGGCCCGGUAAGUCGGUUGUGAAAGCCCGAGGCUCAACCUCGGAACUGCAUUCGAUACUGUCGGGCUUGAGGAAGGUAGAGGAGAGUGGAAUUCCCGGUGUAGCGGUGGAAUGCGCAGAUAUCGGGAGGAACACCAGCGGCGAAGGCGGCUCUCUGGGCCUUUCCUGACGCUGAGGUGCGAAAGCGUGGGGAGCGAACAGG
rnacentral:misc_RNA from 1 species